rnacentral:rRNA from 1 species
UGGGGAAUAUUGGGCAAUGGGCGCAAGCCUGACCCAGCAACGCCGCGUGAAGGAAGAAGGCUUUCGGGUUGUAAACUUCUUUUGUCAGGGACGAGUAGAAGACGGUACCUGACGAAUAAGCCACGGCUAACUACGUGCCAGCAGCCGCGGUAAUACGGAGGAUCCGAGCGUUAUCCGGAUUUAUUGGGUUUAAAGGGAGCGUAGAUGGGUUGUUAAGUCAGUUGUGAAAGUUUGCGGCUCAACCGUAAAAUUGCAAUUGAUACUGGCAGUCUUGAGUACAGUUGAGGUAGGCGGAAUUCGUGGUGUAGCGGUGAAAUGCUUAGAUAUCACGAAGAACUCCGAUUGCGAAGGCAGCUUACUGGAUUGUAACUGACGCUGAUGCUCGAAAGUGUGGGUAUCAAACAGGAUUAGAUACCCUGGUAGUCCACACAGUAAACGAUGAAUACUCGCUGUUGGCGAUAUACUGUCAGCGGCCAAGCGAAAGCAUUAAGUAUUCCACCUGGGGAGUACGCCGGCAACGGUGAAACUCAAAGGAAUUGACGGGGGCCCGCACAAGCGGAGGAACAUGUGGUUUAAUUCGAUGAUACGCGAGGAACCUUACCCGGGCUUAAAUUGCAACUGACGGAACUGGAAACGGUUCUUUCUUCGGACAGUUGUGAAGGUGCUGCAUGGUUGUCGUCAGCUCGUGCCGUGAGGUGUCGGCUUAAGUGCCAUAACGAGCGCAACCCUUAUCGAUAGUUACUAGCAGGUCAUGCUGAGGACUCUAUUGAGACUGCCGUCGUAAGAUGUGAGGAAGGUGGGGAUGACGUCAAAUCAGCACGGCCCUUACGUCCGGGGCUACACACGUGUUACAAUGGGGGGUACAGAAGGCAGCUACACGGCGACGUGGUGCUAAUCCCGAAAGCCUCUCUCAGUUCGGAUUGGAGUCUGCAACCCGACUCCAUGAAGCUGGAUUCGCUAGUAAUCGCGCAUCAGCCACGGCGCGGUGAAUACGUUCCC